GUUGAACGCUAGCUACAGGCCUAACACAUGCAAGUCGAGCGACCGGCGCUCGGGUGAGUAAUAUGUAUCCAACCUGGCCUUUACUCGGGGAUUGCCUUACAAAAGAAAUAUUAAUACCCGAUGUAAAGGAUGGGGAUGCGUUCAAUUAGGUUGUUGGUGAGGUAACGACCCACCAAGCUUUCGAUGGAUAGGGGUUAUGAGAAGAAGGUCCCACACAAUGGAACUACGGCACGGUCCAAACUCCUACGGGAGGCAGCAGUGGAGAAUAUUAGUGAAUGGACGUUAGCCGAGACCAGCCACGUAUCGUGAGGGAUGAAUGGUUAUGGGUGUUCAACUUCUUUUAUGGAAGGAUAUUUAUUAUAUGAAUAAGGAGCGGCUAACUCCGUGCCAGCAGCCGCGGUAAUUC
rnacentral:rRNA from 1 species